GCGCGCCGGCUGGUCCUGACGGACUGGGGACCAGCUCGCCUCCGUGGUCACAGCGGUAGGGGUGGAAUCGGCGGGUAUCUGGUGGCGUGCGGGCGGUGGUGUGCGGGCUGCGAGCGCCGGAAUCACGAUCUGGGCGGUGGAAUCCGACGGCGCCGGACGCUGGCGACGCGCAGGUGACGGACAGAGGAAGUAGAAGGAGCCAGGGACCUGUUUGAUACUGUCUUAACAGUACGAGUGUUUUUUGCAAUAAGAACACUGUACUGCGCGGGACAUGAAUUUCGGGACGGAGGAAGUAUUCAACCAACAGUCUUUGGUAAGUGAAGAAAAGACGGUUUGAUUUUUUGAUCUAACCCUCUGUGCACGUUUGGCUACAGAUCGAGCCGCGGCGCUCCCGAUCCGAUUGGGACACGACGGCGGCGGCGCUCCGGGAGGCGAGGAAUGGGGGGAAGCGGCGGACGUCGGCGCCAGGCGUAUCAGGUAAGGAUCCUGUGAUGUUGAUAGAAAAAAAAACUUUUCUGUGAUAUUAUCUUCCUGGCAGUAAAUGAUCAGUCAUGAUCAGACAUAAUAAGAUAAAUGUAUAACCGAGCUGUUGAUUUUCUUCGUGCAUGUUCAUUAUAUUUCUAGCAGUAAUCGGCAGUUGUGAUGAUCGGUCAGUUUUUGCAUCAAAUAGAUAUUUCUAAACGAAUAUUCAAGGCUUUGUUAUGGCUUGCAUUCCCGUGCUGUUGUUCCCAACAUGUUUCUGUAACAAGAAGAACACGAGCUCCUCAUCUUUGUAUCAUAAUCACUCUUAACCUUGUUUUCCAUUUUGUUUGGUGAUUAGAGUAUAAAUUCUGGCAAUGGUGCAAAGGUGGAAAACUUAGCCGUUUAAUCGCAGUUGUGUUGCUCAAUUGCGACACUGUAUUCCAGGAUUACAAUAUUAAUCUUUCUAUUCAUGGAAUGCAGAAUAGCUUAUGAGUUUUAUCUGCAGGAAACCAAACCGAAACAUGCUUCUCUAUAAACCGUACCAAGGCGACAACAUUCUUAUUUAUAUUCCGUUGAUCAAGUAGCAGGAAAAGGCCUACUUACUCUUUACUUUGAUUUUCCAUUUUUGGGAACCAGGUGAAGUAUCCUCCACGUAGGGCAUUAAGCAGCAGGCAGAGCCGCCACAUACUCUUGUUUCCGUUCUCAAAUUGGACCAGAAAAAAGCUUUUUACCGGAUGAAGCAAAAAAAAAAAUCCAUCCCUCUUGAAUGCCUACAUUGUUGCUCACAAGCAUGUGCCUUUCUAUGUUGUUUUUUGUCUAAUUUAGAGAGCAUAUUGAUAAUGGUCAGCACUAAUCAUUUUUUUAAUCUUUCCUGAAGGGCUCUUACCAGCUACAUUAUUUUUUUUUCUCUCCUAAAGUGACAAGCAAGUUUCCAAGUUCAAGUCAGAUGACACGAUGCGGGGUGAUUAUUUUAGGAUGGUUCCUAAUGUAUCCGCCAUUUAGGUUAUACUAGCUGGAUGCCCGUGCUUUGCCACGGAAUAGCAAAUAAUAUAUACACAUAAAUAGAACUCUUUAAUAGACAUUUCUAUCUCCUUAACCAACAUCCUUUCAUAAGAUACUUAUAUGCAAGUGAAUAGUGAUGCAAAUGGUACUAUUUAA